rnacentral:lncRNA from 1 species
UUGCCAAAGUGUGAUGCAUGCAAUGGAAAAUUGAACUCAACGUUGAGUCCCAGCCACGCGGCUGAAUUGCUAAUGCACUAGAGGAGGAUGCGAAUUGAAAGCAAUUAAAGACAGAUCAGGCAUCCACCAUUAUUGGCGAGGCUGCAAAUUCAAGGAGCAAAUAGUAGACAGAUGGGCCCACGGUUCUCCUCACACAACGCAGGCAAGUAAGCUUUAUCUGCUUGAAUCCAUGCUCUCUGUUCUAAAUCCCAUUAAAUUCUUCACCGAAUCCCCAUCAAAUCGAACUGAUUCCUAACAUCUGAAAAAACUAAUUUGAAGUGGUGUCUGUAGGGAAGAUGAUGCGUCUACCCACAAGGACCAUCUAUGGGCAGUCUGAUUAAAGGCUGUCUGUAGGGAAGAUGAUGCGUGUACCCACAAGGACCACCACGGAGUCGCCAUAUUAGGGCUUUUUUUACAACUGCAAUUAAAACAUCGGUCAACAAAUUCAAUUUAAUGCCUGUUCACGUUGAUUCUUACAGAAGGCUCGGUUUAUACGUGUUUUUAUAUGUCACCCCUUAU